CACGUAGGGACCAAGCGUUGUCCGGAUUCAUUGGGCGUAAAGAGCUCGUAGGCGGUUCGAUAAGUCGGGUGUGAAACCUCCAGGCUCAACCUGGAGACGCCACCCGAUACUGUCGUGACUAGAGUCCAGUAGGGGAGCGUGGAAUUCCUGGUGUAGCGGUGAAAUGCGCAGAUAUCAGGAGGAACACCAGCGGCGAAGGCGGCGCUCUGGGACGGUACUGACGCUGAGACGCGAAAGCGUGGGGAGCAAACAGG
rnacentral:rRNA from 1 species